UUGAACGCUGGCGGCAGGCCUAACCCAUGCCCGUCGAACGGUAACAGGAAGCAGCUUGCUGCUUCGCUGACGAGUGGCGGACGGGUGAGUAAUGUCUGGGAAACUGCCUGAUGGAGGGGGAUAACUACUGGAAACGGUAGCUAAUACCGCAUAACGUCGCAAGACCCAAGAGGGGGACCUUAGGGCCUCUUGCCAUCGGAUGUGCCCAGAUGGGAUUAGCUAGUAGGUGGGGUAACGGCUCACCUAGGCGACGAUCCCUAGCUGGUCUGAGAGGAUGACCAGCCACACUGGAACUGAGACACGGUCCAGACUCCUACGGGAGGCAGCAGUGGGGAAUAUUGCACAAUGGGCGCAAGCCUGAUGCAGCCAUGCCGCGUGUAUGAAGAAGGCCUUCGGGUUGUAAAGUACUUUCAGCGGGGAGGAAGGGAGUAAAGUUAAUACCUUUGCUCAUUGACGUUACCCGCAGAAGAAGCACCGGCUAACUCCGUG
rnacentral:rRNA from 1 species